rnacentral:piRNA from 1 species
UGGAAAACAGUUGCCACCUCACCAACUCC